UGCCUAAGGAUACAGGGUGUGUGGCU
rnacentral:piRNA from 1 species